rnacentral:rRNA from 1 species
GUUACUUCGGUACAUCGGUGACAGGUGGUGCAUGGUUGUCGUCAGCUCGUGUCGUGAGAUGUUGGGUUAAGUCCCGCAACGAGCGCAACCCUUGUCAUUAGUUGCUACAUUCAGUUGGGCACUCUAAUGAGACUGCCGGUGACAAGCCGGAGGAAGGUGGGGAUGACGUCAAGUCCUCAUGGCCCUUAUAGGUGGGGCUACACACGUCAUACAAUGGCUGGUACAAAGGGUUGCCAACCCGCGAGGGGGAGCUAAUCCCAUAAAGCCAGUCGUAGUCCGGAUCGUAGUCUGCAACUCGACUACGUGAAGUCGGAAUCGCUAGUAAUCGUGGAUCAGAAUGUCACGGUGAAUACGUUCCCGGGUCUU